AAUGAAUUGCCUGAUUAAAGGAUUACCUUGAUAGGGUAAAUAAUGUAAAAUAUACAUUCAUUA
rnacentral:tRNA from 1 species